rnacentral:sRNA from 1 species
UCCUCCUUUCCACUUCCUGGGAGACUGGACGUCUUUCACCUCUGCCCUUGCCCCCACCCCUUGACCCCACCAGCCGGGGCCUGAUCGGAGCCUCCACAGCCCGCAGAGCCAAUCCCCGGACGGCAGGGUUGGGUGAGCAGCUCUCUGACCCUGAAAGUGACCAGCGCCCUGAGCCGCGAUGGCAUCUCCUGUGAAGCCUCCAACCCCCACGGGAACAAGCGCCAUGUCUUCCACUUCGGCACCGUGAGCCCCCAGACCUCCCAGGCUGGAGUAGCCGUCAUGGCCGUGGCCGUCAGCGUGGGCCUCCUGCUCCUCGUCGUUGCUGUCUUCUACUGCAUGAGACGCAAAGGGGGCCCCUGCUGCCGCCAGCGGCGGGAGAAGGGGGCUCCGUGAGUGGCCUGCUAUCUGCAAUGACCACCAUAGCUUAACCCCAUCCCCACCCUCAACCCCAAGCUCAACCCAUAACCUCAACCACAUCUUAUCCUCCACCCCGCAUCCCACCACAUCCACCUCCAUCCCCAACCCAUCCUCAUCCCCAACUACAGCCCCAAACCCAGCCCCAGACUAAUCCACAGCCAUCCCCAACUCAUCCUCAUACCCAACUACAGCCCCAAACCCAACCCAGGGCCAUUCCCAAACCCAUCCCCAAGCCAAACUCAACACCAUCCCCUUCCCUAAUCACCUCUCCUGCCCCUAGCUCAGCCUCAUCCCCAACUCCAUGCC